rnacentral:piRNA from 1 species
UGAGUUACUAAGGUGUUUUCCGGAGAAGAGC